AAAUUUAGCAAAACAAGAAUACUAAUAACACUAUCAAUCUUCUCAUUUCUUGAUAAGAAUAUACAAAAAUAACACUAUCAACCUUCUCAUUUCUUGAUAACAAUAUACAAAAUUUAGCAAAACAAGAACACUAAUAACACUAUCAAUCUUCUCAUUUCUUGAUAAGAAUAUACAAAAUUUAACAAAGCAAGAACACUAAUAACACUAUCAAUCUUCUUAUUUCUUGAUAACAAUAUACAAAAUUUAGCAAAACAAGAACACUAAUAACACUAUCAAUCUUCUCAUUUCUUGAUAACAAUAUACAAAAUUUAGCAAAACAAGAACACUAAUAACACUAUCAAUCUUCUCAUUUCUUGAUAACAAUAUACAAAAUUUAGCAAAACAAGAACACUAAUAACACUAUCAAUCUUCUCAUUUCUUGAUAACAAUAUACAAAAUUUAGCAAAACAAGAACACUAAUAACACUAUCAAUCUUCUCAUUUCUUGAUAACAAUAUACAAAAUUUAGCAAAACAAGAACACUAAUAACACUAUCAAUCUUCUCAUUUCUUGAUAACAAUAUACAAAAUUUAGCAAAACAAGAACACUAAUAACACUAUCAAUCUUCUCAUUUCUUGAUAACAAUAUACAAAAUUUAGCAAAACAAGAACACUAAUAACACUAUCAAUCUUCUCAUUUCUUGAUAACAAUAUACAAAAUUUAGCAAAACAAGAACACUAAUAACACUAUCAAUCUUCUCAUUUCUUGAUAACAAUAUACAAAAUUUAGCAAAACAAGAACACUAAUAACACUAUCAAUCUUCUCAUUUCUUGAUAACAAUAUACAAAAUUUAGCAAAACAAGAACACUAAUAACACUAUCAAUCUUCUCAUUUCUUGAUAACAAUAUACAAAAUUUAGCAAAACAAGAACACUAAUAACACUAUCAAUCUUCUCAUUUCUUGAUAACAAUAUACAAAAUUUAGCAAAACAAGAACACUAAUAACACUAUCAAUCUUCUCAUUUCUUGAUAACAAUAUACAAAAUUUAGCAAAACAAGAACACUAAUAACACUAUCAAUCUUCUCAUUUCUUGAUAACAAUAUACAAAAUUUAGCAAAACAAGAACACUAAUAACACUAUCAAUCUUCUCAUUUCUUGAUAACAAUAUACAAAAUUUAGCAAAACAAGAACACUAAUAACACUAUCAAUCUUCUCAUUUCUUGAUAACAAUAUACAAAAUUUAGCAAAACAAGAACACUAAUAACACUAUCAAUCUUCUCAUUUCUUGAUAACAAUAUACAAAAUUUAGCAAAACAAGAACACUAAUAACACUAUCAAUCUUCUCAUUUCUUGAUAACAAUAUACAAAAUUUAGCAAAACAAGAACACUAAUAACACUAUCAAUCUUCUCAUUUCUUGAUAACAAUAUACAAAAUUUAGCAAAACAAGAACACUAAUAACACUAUCAAUCUUCUCAUUUCUUGAUAACAAUAUACAAAAUUUAGCAAAACAAGAACACUAAUAACACUAUCAAUCUUCUCAUUUCUUGAUAACAAUAUACAAAAUUUAGCAAAACAAGAACACUAAUAACACUAUCAAUCUUCUCAUUUCUUGAUAACAAUAUACAAAAUUUAGCAAAACAAGAACACUAAUAACACUAUCAAUCUUCUCAUUUCUUGAUAACAAUAUACAAAAUUUAGCAAAACAAGAACACUAAUAACACUAUCAAUCUUCUCAUUUCUUGAUAACAAUAUACAAAAUUUAGCAAAACAAGAACACUAAUAACACUAUCAAUCUUCUCAUUUCUUGAUAACAAUAUACAAAAUUUAGCAAAACAAGAACACUAAUAACACUAUCAAUCUUCUCAUUUCUUGAUAACAAUAUACAAAAUUUAGCAAAACAAGAACACUAAUAACACUAUCAAUCUUCUCAUUUCUUGAUAACAAUAUACAAAAUUUAGCAAAACAAGAACACUAAUAACACUAUCAAUCUUCUCAUUUCUUGAUAACAAUAUACAAAAUUUAGCAAAACAAGAACACUAAUAACACUAUCAAUCUUCUCAUUUCUUGAUAACAAUAUACAAAAUUUAGCAAAACAAGAACACUAAUAACACUAUCAAUCUUCUCAUUUCUUGAUAACAAUAUACAAAAUUUAGCAAAACAAGAACACUAAUAACACUAUCAAUCUUCUCAUUUCUUGAUAACAAUAUACAAAAUUUAGCAAAACAAGAACACUAAUAACACUAUCAAUCUUCUCAUUUCUUGAUAACAAUAUACAAAAUUUAGCAAAACAAGAACACUAAUAACACUAUCAAUCUUCUCAUUUCUUGAUAACAAUAUACAAAAUUUAGCAAAACAAGAACACUAAUAACACUAUCAAUCUUCUCAUUUCUUGAUAACAAUAUACAAAAUUUAGCAAAACAAGAACACUAAUAACACUAUCAAUCUUCUCAUUUCUUGAUAACAAUAUACAAAAUUUAGCAAAACAAGAACACUAAUAACACUAUCAAUCUUCUCAUUUCUUGAUAACAAUAUACAAAAUUUAGCAAAACAAGAACACUAAUAACACUAUCAAUCUUCUCAUUUCUUGAUAACAAUAUACAAAAUUUAGCAAAACAAGAACACUAAUAACACUAUCAAUCUUCUCAUUUCUUGAUAACAAUAUACAAAAUUUAGCAAAACAAGAACACUAAUAACACUAUCAAUCUUCUCAUUUCUUGAUAACAAUAUACAAAAUUUAGCAAAACAAGAACACUAAUAACACUAUCAAUCUUCUCAUUUCUUGAUAACAAUAUACAAAAUUUAGCAAAACAAGAACACUAAUAACACUAUCAAUCUUCUCAUUUCUUGAUAACAAUAUACAAAAUUUAGCAAAACAAGAACACUAAUAACACUAUCAAUCUUCUCAUUUCUUGAUAACAAUAUACAAAAUUUAGCAAAACAAGAACACUAAUAACACUAUCAAUCUUCUCAUUUCUUGAUAACAAUAUACAAAAUUUAGCAAAACAAGAACACUAAUAACACUAUCAAUCUUCUCAUUUCUUGAUAACAAUAUACAAAAUUUAGCAAAACAAGAACACUAAUAACACUAUCAAUCUUCUCAUUUCUUGAUAACAAUAUACAAAAUUUAGCAAAACAAGAACACUAAUAACACUAUCAAUCUUCUCAUUUCUUGAUAACAAUAUACAAAAUUUAGCAAAACAAGAACACUAAUAACACUAUCAAUCUUCUCAUUUCUUGAUAACAAUAUACAAAAUUUAGCAAAACAAGAACACUAAUAACACUAUCAAUCUUCUCAUUUCUUGAUAACAAUAUACAAAAUUUAGCAAAACAAGAACACUAAUAACACUAUCAAUCUUCUCAUUUCUUGAUAACAAUAUACAAAAUUUAGCAAAACAAGAACACUAAUAACACUAUCAAUCUUCUCAUUUCUUGAUAACAAUAUACAAAAUUUAGCAAAACAAGAACACUAAUAACACUAUCAAUCUUCUCAUUUCUUGAUAACAAUAUACAAAAUUUAGCAAAACAAGAACACUAAUAACACUAUCAAUCUUCUCAUUUCUUGAUAACAAUAUACAAAAUUUAGCAAAACAAGAACACUAAUAACACUAUCAAUCUUCUCAUUUCUUGAUAACAAUAUACAAAAUUUAGCAAAACAAGAACACUAAUAACACUAUCAAUCUUCUCAUUUCUUGAUAACAAUAUACAAAAUUUAGCAAAACAAGAACACUAAUAACACUAUCAAUCUUCUCAUUUCUUGAUAACAAUAUACAAAAUUUAGCAAAACAAGAACACUAAUAACACUAUCAAUCUUCUCAUUUCUUGAUAACAAUAUACAAAAUUUAGCAAAACAAGAACACUAAUAACACUAUCAAUCUUCUCAUUUCUUGAUAACAAUAUACAAAAUUUAGCAAAACAAGAACACUAAUAACACUAUCAAUCUUCUCAUUUCUUGAUAACAAUAUACAAAAUUUAGCAAAACAAGAACACUAAUAACACUAUCAAUCUUCUCAUUUCUUGAUAACAAUAUACAAAAUUUAGCAAAACAAGAACACUAAUAACACUAUCAAUCUUCUCAUUUCUUGAUAACAAUAUACAAAAUUUAGCAAAACAAGAACACUAAUAACACUAUCAAUCUUCUCAUUUCUUGAUAACAAUAUACAAAAUUUAGCAAAACAAGAACACUAAUAACACUAUCAAUCUUCUCAUUUCUUGAUAACAAUAUACAAAAUUUAGCAAAACAAGAACACUAAUAACACUAUCAAUCUUCUCAUUUCUUGAUAACAAUAUACAAAAUUUAGCAAAACAAGAACACUAAUAACACUAUCAAUCUUCUCAUUUCUUGAUAACAAUAUACAAAAUUUAGCAAAACAAGAACACUAAUAACACUAUCAAUCUUCUCAUUUCUUGAUAACAAUAUACAAAAUUUAGCAAAACAAGAACACUAAUAACACUAUCAAUCUUCUCAUUUCUUGAUAACAAUAUACAAAAUUUAGCAAAACAAGAACACUAAUAACACUAUCAAUCUUCUCAUUUCUUGAUAACAAUAUACAAAAUUUAGCAAAACAACAACACUAAUAACACUAUCAAUCUUCUCAUUUCUUGAUAACAAUAUACAAAUUUAGCAAAACAAGAACACUAAUAACACUAUCAAUCUUCUCAUUUCAUGAUAACAAUAUACAAAAUUUAGCAAAACAAGAACACUAACAACAUUAUCAAUCUCCUUAUUUCUUGAUAACAAUAUACAAAAUUUAGCAAAACAAGAACACUAAUAACACUAUCAAUCUUCUCAUUUCUUGAUAACAAUAUACAAAAUUUAGCAAAAUAAGAACACUAAUAACACUAUAAAUCCUUUCAUUUCUUCAUAACAAUAUACAGGUAAGUAUGCUAAGAAAAAAGAAGCAAAAAAAUAAAUCACGUAAUAGAGUCCUAAAGAUGUGCGUACGGAUAUAGGAAGCAGCGGUGUGGCCUUUGAAGCCAUCAUAAAUUCCAACGAACAGUGCGUCAUGGCUUACAUCGUCCUAGUUGUGAUCUUCCAUAUCCUUAUUUGACUAACAGAAGCCAUGGAGAAUUCCCCAUGGCAAUGCCUUUCAUUUUUGGGAGAUUUUGGUAAAGGGUCAGCGUUAAAUGUUUCUUGAUAACAAGAACACUAAUAACACUAUCAAUCUUCUCAUUUCUUGAUAACAAUAUACAAAAUUUAGCAAAACAAGAACACUAAUAACACUAUCAAUCUUCUCAUUUCUUGAUAACAAUAUACAAAAUUUAGCAAAACAAGAACACUAAUAACACUAUCAAUCUUCUCAUUUCUUGAUAACAAUAUACAAAAUUUAGCAAAACAAGAACACUAAUAACACUAUCAAUCUUCUCAUUUCUUGAUAACAAUAUACAAAAUUUAGCAAAACAAGAACACUAAUAACACUAUCAAUCUUCUCAUUUCUUGAUAACAAUAUACAAAAUUUAGCAAAACAAGAACACUAAUAACACUAUCAAUCUUCUCAUUUCUUGAUAACAAUAUACAAAAUUUAGCAAAACAAGAACACUAAUAACACUAUCAAUCUUCUCAUUUCUUGAUAACAAUAUACAAAAUUUAGCAAAACAAGAACACUAAUAACACUAUCAAUCUUCUCAUUUCUUGAUAACAAUAUACAAAAUUUAGCAAAACAAGAACACUAAUAACACUAUCAAUCUUCUCAUUUCUUGAUAACAAUAUACAAAAUUUAGCAAAACAAGAACACUAAUAACACUAUCAAUCUUCUCAUUUCUUGAUAACAAUAUACAAAAUUUAGCAAAACAAGAACACUAAUAACACUAUCAAUCUUCUCAUUUCUUGAUAACAAUAUACAAAAUUUAGCAAAACAAGAACACUAAUAACACUAUCAAUCUUCUCAUUUCUUGAUAACAAUAUACAAAAUUUAGCAAAACAAGAACACUAAUAACACUAUCAAUCUUCUCAUUUCUUGAUAACAAUAUACAAAAUUUAGCAAAACAAGAACACUAAUAACACUAUCAAUCUUCUCAUUUCUUGAUAACAAUAUACAAAAUUUAGCAAAACAAGAACACUAAUAACACUAUCAAUCUUCUCAUUUCUUGAUAACAAUAUACAAAAUUUAGCAAAACAAGAACACUAAUAACACUAUCAAUCUUCUCAUUUCUUGAUAACAAUAUACAAAAUUUAGCAAAACAAGAACACUAAUAACACUAUCAAUCUUCUCAUUUCUUGAUAACAAUAUACAAAAUUUAGCAAAACAAGAACACUAAUAACACUAUCAAUCUUCUCAUUUCUUGAUAACAAUAUACAAAAUUUAGCAAAACAAGAACACUAAUAACACUAUCAAUCUUCUCAUUUCUUGAUAACAAUAUACAAAAUUUAGCAAAACAAGAACACUAAUAACACUAUCAAUCUUCUCAUUUCUUGAUAACAAUAUACAAAAUUUAGCAAAACAAGAACACUAAUAACACUAUCAAUCUUCUCAUUUCUUGAUAACAAUAUACAAAAUUUAGCAAAACAAGAACACUAAUAACACUAUCAAUCUUCUCAUUUCUUGAUAACAAUAUACAAAAUUUAGCAAAACAAGAACACUAAUAACACUAUCAAUCUUCUCAUUUCUUGAUAACAAUAUACAAAAUUUAGCAAAACAAGAACACUAAUAACACUAUCAAUCUUCUCAUUUCUUGAUAACAAUAUACAAAAUUUAGCAAAACAAGAACACUAAUAACACUAUCAAUCUUCUCAUUUCUUGAUAACAAUAUACAAAAUUUAGCAAAACAAGAACACUAAUAACACUAUCAAUCUUCUCAUUUCUUGAUAACAAUAUACAAAAUUUAGCAAAACAAGAACACUAAUAACACUAUCAAUCUUCUCAUUUCUUGAUAACAAUAUACAAAAUUUAGCAAAACAAGAACACUAAUAACACUAUCAAUCUUCUCAUUUCUUGAUAACAAUAUACAAAAUUUAGCAAAACAAGAACACUAAUAACACUAUCAAUCUUCUCAUUUCUUGAUAACAAUAUACAAAAUUUAGCAAAACAAGAACACUAAUAACACUAUCAAUCUUCUCAUUUCUUGAUAACAAUAUACAAAAUUUAGCAAAACAAGAACACUAAUAACACUAUCAAUCUUCUCAUUUCUUGAUAACAAUAUACAAAAUUUAGCAAAACAAGAACACUAAUAACACUAUCAAUCUUCUCAUUUCUUGAUAACAAUAUACAAAAUUUAGCAAAACAAGAACACUAAUAACACUAUCAAUCUUCUCAUUUCUUGAUAACAAUAUACAAAAUUUAGCAAAACAAGAACACUAAUAACACUAUCAAUCUUCUCAUUUCUUGAUAACAAUAUACAAAAUUUAGCAAAACAAGAACACUAAUAACACUAUCAAUCUUCUCAUUUCUUGAUAACAAUAUACAAAAUUUAGCAAAACAAGAACACUAAUAACACUAUCAAUCUUCUCAUUUCUUGAUAACAAUAUACAAAAUUUAGCAAAACAAGAACACUAAUAACACUAUCAAUCUUCUCAUUUCUUGAUAACAAUAUACAAAAUUUAGCAAAACAAGAACACUAAUAACACUAUCAAUCUUCUCAUUUCUUGAUAACAAUAUACAAAAUUUAGCAAAACAAGAACACUAAUAACACUAUCAAUCUUCUCAUUUCUUGAUAACAAUAUACAAAAUUUAGCAAAACAAGAACACUAAUAACACUAUCAAUCUUCUCAUUUCUUGAUAACAAUAUACAAAAUUUAGCAAAACAAGAACACUAAUAACACUAUCAAUCUUCUCAUUUCUUGAUAACAAUAUACAAAAUUUAGCAAAACAAGAACACUAAUAACACUAUCAAUCUUCUCAUUUCUUGAUAACAAUAUACAAAAUUUAGCAAAACAAGAACACUAAUAACACUAUCAAUCUUCUCAUUUCUUGAUAACAAUAUACAAAAUUUAGCAAAACAAGAACACUAAUAACACUAUCAAUCUUCUCAUUUCUUGAUAACAAUAUACAAAAUUUAGCAAAACAAGAACACUAAUAACACUAUCAAUCUUCUCAUUUCUUGAUAACAAUAUACAAAAUUUAGCAAAACAAGAACACUAAUAACACUAUCAAUCUUCUCAUUUCUUGAUAACAAUAUACAAAAUUUAGCAAAACAAGAACACUAAUAACACUAUCAAUCUUCUCAUUUCUUGAUAACAAUAUACAAAAUUUAGCAAAACAAGAACACUAAUAACACUAUCAAUCUUCUCAUUUCUUGAUAACAAUAUACAAAAUUUAGCAAAACAAGAACACUAAUAACACUAUCAAUCUUCUCAUUUCUUGAUAACAAUAUACAAAAUUUAGCAAAACAAGAACACUAAUAACACUAUCAAUCUUCUCAUUUCUUGAUAACAAUAUACAAAAUUUAGCAAAACAAGAACACUAAUAACACUAUCAAUCUUCUCAUUUCUUGAUAACAAUAUACAAAAUUUAGCAAAACAAGAACACUAAUAACACUAUCAAUCUUCUCAUUUCUUGAUAACAAUAUACAAAAUUUAGCAAAACAAGAACACUAAUAACACUAUCAAUCUUCUCAUUUCUUGAUAACAAUAUACAAAAUUUAGCAAAACAAGAACACUAAUAACACUAUCAAUCUUCUCAUUUCUUGAUAACAAUAUACAAAAUUUAGCAAAACAAGAACACUAAUAACACUAUCAAUCUUCUCAUUUCUUGAUAACAAUAUACAAAAUUUAGCAAAACAAGAACACUAAUAACACUAUCAAUCUUCUCAUUUCUUGAUAACAAUAUACAAAAUUUAGCAAAACAAGAACACUAAUAACACUAUCAAUCUUCUCAUUUCUUGAUAACAAUAUACAAAAUUUAGCAAAACAAGAACACUAAUAACACUAUCAAUCUUCUCAUUUCUUGAUAACAAUAUACAAAAUUUAGCAAAACAAGAACACUAAUAACACUAUCAAUCUUCUCAUUUCUUGAUAACAAUAUACAAAAUUUAGCAAAACAAGAACACUAAUAACACUAUCAAUCUUCUCAUUUCUUGAUAACAAUAUACAAAAUUUAGCAAAACAAGAACACUAAUAACACUAUCAAUCUUCUCAUUUCUUGAUAACAAUAUACAAAAUUUAGCAAAACAAGAACACUAAUAACACUAUCAAUCUUCUCAUUUCUUGAUAACAAUAUACAAAAUUUAGCAAAACAAGAACACUAAUAACACUAUCAAUCUUCUCAUUUCUUGAUAACAAUAUACAAAAUUUAGCAAAACAAGAACACUAAUAACACUAUCAAUCUUCUCAUUUCUUGAUAACAAUAUACAAAAUUUAGCAAAACAAGAACACUAAUAACACUAUCAAUCUUCUCAUUUCUUGAUAACAAUAUACAAAAUUUAGCAAAACAAGAACACUAAUAACACUAUCAAUCUUCUCAUUUCUUGAUAACAAUAUACAAAAUUUAGCAAAACAAGAACACUAAUAACACUAUCAAUCUUCUCAUUUCUUGAUAACAAUAUACAAAAUUUAGCAAAACAAGAACACUAAUAACACUAUCAAUCUUCUCAUUUCUUGAUAACAAUAUACAAAAUUUAGCAAAACAAGAACACUAAUAACACUAUCAAUCUUCUCAUUUCUUGAUAACAAUAUACAAAAUUUAGCAAAACAAGAACACUAAUAACACUAUCAAUCUUCUCAUUUCUUGAUAACAAUAUACAAAAUUUAGCAAAACAAGAACACUAAUAACACUAUCAAUCUUCUCAUUUCUUGAUAACAAUAUACAAAAUUUAGCAAAACAAGAACACUAAUAACACUAUCAAUCUUCUCAUUUCUUGAUAACAAUAUACAAAAUUUAGCAAAACAAGAACACUAAUAACACUAUCAAUCUUCUCAUUUCUUGAUAACAAUAUACAAAAUUUAGCAAAACAAGAACACUAAUAACACUAUCAAUCUUCUCAUUUCUUGAUAACAAUAUACAAAAUUUAGCAAAACAAGAACACUAAUAACACUAUCAAUCUUCUCAUUUCUUGAUAACAAUAUACAAAAUUUAGCAAAACAAGAACACUAAUAACACUAUCAAUCUUCUCAUUUCUUGAUAACAAUAUACAAAAUUUAGCAAAACAAGAACACUAAUAACACUAUCAAUCUUCUCAUUUCUUGAUAACAAUAUACAAAAUUUAGCAAAACAAGAACACUAAUAACACUAUCAAUCUUCUCAUUUCUUGAUAACAAUAUACAAAAUUUAGCAAAACAAGAACACUAAUAACACUAUCAAUCUUCUCAUUUCUUGAUAACAAUAUACAAAAUUUAGCAAAACAAGAACACUAAUAACACUAUCAAUCUUCUCAUUUCUUGAUAACAAUAUACAAAAUUUAGCAAAACAAGAACACUAAUAACACUAUCAAUCUUCUCAUUUCUUGAUAACAAUAUACAAAAUUUAGCAAAACAAGAACACUAAUAACACUAUCAAUCUUCUCAUUUCUUGAUAACAAUAUACAAAAUUUAGCAAAACAAGAACACUAAUAACACUAUCAAUCUUCUCAUUUCUUGAUAACAAUAUACAAAAUUUAGCAAAACAAGAACACUAAUAACACUAUCAAUCUUCUCAUUUCUUGAUAACAAUAUACAAAAUUUAGCAAAACAAGAACACUAAUAACACUAUCAAUCUUCUCAUUUCUUGAUAACAAUAUACAAAAUUUAGCAAAACAAGAACACUAAUAACACUAUCAAUCUUCUCAUUUCUUGAUAACAAUAUACAAAAUUUAGCAAAACAAGAACACUAAUAACACUAUCAAUCUUCUCAUUUCUUGAUAACAAUAUACAAAAUUUAGCAAAACAAGAACACUAAUAACACUAUCAAUCUUCUCAUUUCUUGAUAACAAUAUACAAAAUUUAGCAAAACAAGAACACUAAUAACACUAUCAAUCUUCUCAUUUCUUGAUAACAAUAUACAAAAUUUAGCAAAACAAGAACACUAAUAACACUAUCAAUCUUCUCAUUUCUUGAUAACAAUAUACAAAAUUUAGCAAAACAAGAACACUAAUAACACUAUCAAUCUUCUCAUUUCUUGAUAACAAUAUACAAAAUUUAGCAAAACAAGAACACUAAUAACACUAUCAAUCUUCUCAUUUCUUGAUAACAAUAUACAAAAUUUAGCAAAACAAGAACACUAAUAACACUAUCAAUCUUCUCAUUUCUUGAUAACAAUAUACAAAAUUUAGCAAAACAAGAACACUAAUAACACUAUCAAUCUUCUCAUUUCUUGAUAACAAUAUACAAAAUUUAGCAAAACAAGAACACUAAUAACACUAUCAAUCUUCUCAUUUCUUGAUAACAAUAUACAAAAUUUAGCAUAACAAGAACACUAACAACAUUAUCAAUCUCCUUAUUUCUUGAUAACAAUAUACAAAAUUUAGCAAAACAAGAACACUAAGAACACUAUCAAUCUUCUCAUUUCUUGAUAACAAUAUACAAAAUUUAGCAAAACAAGAACACUAAUAACACUAUCAAUCUUCUCAUUUGUUGAUAACAAUAUACAAAAUUUAGCAAAACAAGAACACUAAUAACACUAUCAAUCUUCUCAUUUGUUGAUAACAAUAUACAAAAUUUAGCAAAACAAGAACACUAAUAACACUAUCAAUCUUUUCAAUUUUUCAUAACAAUAUACAGGUAAGUAUGCUAAGAAAAAAGAAGCAAAAAAAUAACUCACGAAAUAGAGUCCUGAAGAUGUGCGUACGGAUAUAGGAAGCAGCGGUGUGGCCUUUGAAGCCAUCAUAAAUUCCAACGAAUAGUGCGUCAUGGCUUACAUCGUCGUAGUUGUGAUCUUCCAUAUCCUUAUUUGACUAACAGAAGCCAUGGAGAAUUCCCCAUGGCAAUGCCUUUCAUUUUUGGGAGAUUUUGGUAAAGGGUCAGCGUUAAAUGUUUCUUGAUAACAAGAACACUAAUAACACUAUCAAUCUUCUCAUUUCUUGAUAACAAUAUACAAAAAUUAGCAAAACAAGAACACUAAUAACACUAUCAAUCUUCUCAUUUCUUGAUAACAAUAUACAAAAUUUAGCAAAACAAGAACACUAAUAACACUAUCAAUCUUCUCAUUUCUUGAUAACAAUAUACAAAAAUUAGCAAAACAAGAACACUAAUAACACUAUCAAUCUUCUCAUUUCUUAAUAACAAUUUACAAAAUUUAGCAAAACAAGAACACUAAUAACACUAUCAAUCUUUUCAUUUCUUCAUAACAAUAUACAGGUAAGUAUGCUAAGAAAAAAGAAGCAAAAAAAUAACUCACGCAAUAGAGUCCUAAAGAUGUGCGUACGGAUAUAGGAAGCAGCGGUGUGGCCUUUGAAGCCAUCAUAAAUUCCAACGAACUGUGCGUCAUGGCUUACAUCGUCCUAGUUGUGACCUUCCAUAUCCUUAUUUAACUAACAGAAGCCAUGGAGAAUUCCCCAUGGCAAUGCCUUUCAUUUUUGGGAGAUUUUGAUAAAGGGCCAGCGUUAAAUGUUUCUUGAUAACAAGAACACUAAUAACACUAUCAAUCUUCUCAUUUCUUGAUAACAAUAUACAAAAUUUAGCAAAACAAGAACACUAAUAACACUAUCAAUCUUCUCAUUUCUUGAUAACAAUAUACAAAAUUUAGCAAAACAAGAACACUAAUAACACUAUCAAUCUUCUCAUUUCUUGAUAACAAUAUACAAAAUUUAGCAAAACAAGAACACUAAUAACACUAUCAAUCUUCUCAUUUCUUGAUAACAAUAUACAAAAUUUAGCAAAACAAGAACACUAAUAACACUAUCAAUCUUCUCAUUUCUUGAUAACAAUAUACAAAAUUUAGCAAAACAAGAACACUAAUAACACUAUCAAUCUUCUCAUUUCUUGAUAACAAUAUACAAAAUUUAGCAAAACAAGAACACUAAUAACACUAUCAAUCUUCUCAUUUCUUGAUAACAAUAUACAAAAUUUAGCAAAACAAGAACACUAAUAACACUAUCAAUCUUCUCAUUUCUUGAUAACAAUAUACAAAAUUUAGCAAAACAAGAACACUAAUAACACUAUCAAUCUUCUCAUUUCUUGAUAACAAUAUACAAAAUUUAGCAAAACAAGAACACUAAUAACACUAUCAAUCUUCUCAUUUCUUGAUAACAAUAUACAAAAUUUAGCAAAACAAGAACACUAAUAACACUAUCAAUCUUCUCAUUUCUUGAUAACAAUAUACAAAAUUUAGCAAAACAAGAACACUAAUAACACUAUCAAUCUUCUCAUUUCUUGAUAACAAUAUACAAAAUUUAGCAAAACAAGAACACUAAUAACACUAUCAAUCUUCUCAUUUCUUGAUAACAAUAUACAAAAUUUAGCAAAACAAGAACACUAAUAACACUAUCAAUCUUCUCAUUUCUUGAUAACAAUAUACAAAAUAGAGAGAUCAAAUACAAGAACACUAUAACACUAUCAAUCUCUCAUUUCUUGAUAACAUAUACAAAAUUUAGCAAACAAGAACACUAAUAACACUAUCAUCUUCUCAUUUCUUGAUAACAAUAUACAAAAUUUAGCAAACAAGAACACUAAUAACACUAUCAAUCUUCUCAUUUUCUGAUAACAAUAUACAAAAUUUAGCAAAACAAGAACACUAAUAACAUCUAUCAUCUCCUUAUUCUUGAUAACAAUAUACAAAAUUUAGCAAACAAGAACACUAAUAACAUUAUCAAUCUUCUCAUUUCUUGAUAACAAUAUACAAAAUUUAGCAAAACAAGAACACUAAUAACACUAUCAAUCUUCUCAUUUCUUGAUAACAAUACAAAAUUUAGCAAAAGAACAACUAUAACACUAUCAAUCUUUUCAUUUCUUGAUAACAUAUACAAAUUUAGCAAACAAGAACACUAAUAACACUAUCAUCUUCUAUUUUUGAUACAAAUAUAAAAAUUUAGCAAAACAAGAACACUAAUAACACUAUCAUCUUCUCAUUUCUUGAUAACAAUAUACAAAAUUUAGCAAACAAGAACACUAAAAACACUAUCAAUCUUCUCAUUUCUUGUAACAAUAUACAAAAUUUAGCAAAACAAGAACACUAAUAACACUAUCAAUCUUUCAUUUCUUGAUAACAUUUACAAAAUUUAGCAAAACAAGAACACUAAUAACACUAUCAUCUUUCUCAUUCUUGAUAACAAUAUACAAAUUUUAGCAAAACAAGAACACUAUAACACUAUCAAUCUUCUCAUUUCUUGAUAACAAUAUACAAAAUUUAGCAAACAAGAACACUAUAACACUAUCAAUCUUUUCAUUUCUUGAUAACAAUAUACAAAAUUUAGCAAAACAAGAACACUAAUAACACUAUCAUUCUUCUCAUUUCUUGAUAACAUAUACAAAAUUUAGCAAAACAAGAACACUAAUAACACUAUCAAUCUUCUCAUUUCUUGAAACAAUAUACAAAAUUUAGCAAACAAGAACACUAAUAAACUAUCAAUCUUCUCAUUUCUUGAUAACAAUAUACAAAAUUAGCAAAACAAGAACACAUAAUACACUAUCAAUCUUCUCAUUUCUUGAUAACAAUAUACAAAUUUAGCAAAACAACAACACUAAUAACACUAUCAAUCUUCUCAUUUCUUGAUAACAAUAUACAAAUUUAGCAAAACAAGAACACUAAUAACACUAUCAAUCUUCUCAUUUCUUGAUAACAAUAUACAAAAUUUAGAAAAACAAGAACACUAACAACAUUAUCAAUCUCCUUAUUUCUUGAUAACAAUAUACAAAAUUUAGCAAAACAAGAACACUAAAAACACUAUCAAUCUUAUCAUUUCUUGAUUACAAUAUACAAAAUUUAGCAAAACAAGAACACUACUAACACUAUCAAUCUUCUCAUUUCUUGAUAACAAUAUACAAAAUUUAGCAAAACAAGAACACUAAUAACACUAUCAAUCUUUUCAUUUCUUCAUAACAAUAUACAGGGAAGUAUGCUAAGAAAAAAGAAGCAAAAAAAUAACUCACGUAACAGAGUCCUAAAGAUGUGCGUACGGAUAUAGGAAGCAGCGGUGUGGCCUUUGAAGCCAUCAUAAAUUCCAACGAACAGUGCGUCAUGGCUUACAUCGUCCUAGUUGUGAUCUUCCAUAUCCUUAUUUUACUAACAGAAGCAAUGGAGAAUUCCCCAUGGCAAUGCCUUUCAUUUUUGGGAGAUUUUGGUAAAGGGUCAGCGUUAAAUGUUUCUUGAUAACAAGAACACUAAUAACACUAUCAAUCUUCUCAUUUCUUGAUAAUAAUAUACAAAAAUUAGCAAAACAAGAACACUUAUCAGACUAUCAACCUUCUCAUUUUUUGAUAACAAUAUACAAAAUUUAGCAAAACAAGAACACUAAUAACACUAUCAAUCUUCUCAUUUCUUGACAACAAUAUACAAAAUUUAGCAAAACAAGAACACUAAUAACACUAUCAAUCUUCUCAUUUCUUGAUAACAAUAUACAAAAUUUAGCAAAACAAGAACACUAAUAACACUAUCAAUCUUCUCAUUUCUUGAUAACAAUAUACAAAAUUUAGCAAAACAAGAACACUAGUAACACUAUCAAUCUUCUCAUUUUUUUGAUAACAAUAUACAAAAUUUAGCAAAACAAGAACACUAAUAACACUAUCAAUCUUCUCAUUUCUUGACAACAAUAUACAAAAUUUAGCGAAACAAGAACACUAAUAACACUAUCAAUAUUCUCAUUUCUUGAUAACAAUAUACAAAAUUAGCAAAACAAGAACACUAAUAACACUAUCAAUCUUCUAAUUUCUAGAUAACAAUAUACAAAAUUUUAGCAAAACAACAACACUAAUAACACUAUCAAUCUUCUCAUUUCUUGAUAACAAUAUACAAAUUUAGCAAAACAAGAACACUAAUAACACUAUCAAUCUUCUUAUUUCUUGAUAACAAUAUACAAAAUUUAGCAAAACAAGAACACUAACAACAUUAUCAAUCUCCUUAUUUCUUGAUAACAAUAUACAAAAUUUAGCAAAACAAGAACACUAAAAACACUAUCAAUCUUCUCAUUUCUUGAUAACAAUAUUAACAAAAUUUAGCAAAACAAGAAACACUAAUAACACUAUCAAUUUUCUCAUUUCUUGAUAACAAUAUACAAAUUUAGCAAAACAAGAACACUAAUAACACUAUCAAUCUUCUCAUU
rnacentral:lncRNA from 1 species